rnacentral:rRNA from 1 species
GCAGGCUGCAACUCGCCUGCAUGAAGCUGGAAUUGCUAGUAAUCGCGGAUCAGCAAGCCGCGGUGAAUACGUUCCCGGGCCUUGUACACACCGCCCGUCACACCAUGAGAGUCGGGAACACCCGAAGUCCGUAGUCUAAUCGCAAGGGGGGCGCGGCCGAAGGUGGGUCCGGUAAUUGGGGUGAAGUCGUAACAAGGUACC